AUUUCUUUAGUAUAGUUUAAGAAAAACCUUACAUUUUCAUUGUAAAAUUAAUUCAUUUUUUACUAAU
rnacentral:tRNA from 1 species